UCUGUAAAGCAAUAACAUUUUUUGUAUAUUUUAUUGAACUGUUGCAAAUGACUGUAUUCUUAGAUGGCCGAUAAAUUUUUUGCUUUGUAUUCUGCACUAGUUAUUUAGGAUUGUUCUAUGGUCUCAUAAUUGUCAAAUUUAUUUGGCUGUCAAAUUGGCAGACCAGAUUAAUGGCCAAUUAUUCUCUUUUUUUAAUUUAUUUUUUAUUUUAUUUUUGGGAGGAACUAUAUGACUUCUAUUGGUUAUUACUACUUGAAAUCUACUCAUUUUAGUUUGAGUAAGUUCUUGAAAAGUUAAACAUAACAUUGACUGGUGAUGAAAAAAUGCUGUGAAUUGUUUCAUGCAUUAGCUUGAGCUUCUGAAUGAAAUGGUUUCCUAAAAUGUUUUAAAGCUGAUUAAAAAUGAAGUUACCUCAGUGCCUCCCGUCUUGUAAUUAAAGUUUCCAUGUAACAAGUUGUUAAUCUAAGUAUUAGUAAACUAGUAAUUUUGUUAUUUUUCAAUGCUUCAAUUUCAUCAGCUUUACACAUUGAGGGAAGUUAUAAACAUCAUCCUUACUCUUAUAUGUAAUAGUUUGAAUUCUUAUUCUUAGUAUCUGUUCAACACAAUUGCUGAAAAUAACAUUUUAUUCACUUCAGGGCUCAUUACAUCAAACCGCACGAUCUGGGUAGUUUUUUUCCACGUUUGGGCUCCUAAACCCAUUAUCAGAGACCAAGCCCAACCCAGCUAACUCAACAGUGGGCUAAACAUUCAUUCUUCCCUCCGAAAUUUAACAACACAGCGCCACUCCCUCGCUGUGGCAGACAUUCGAGACUCCCUCACCGGCCACGACACCUCCUUCCCUGUUAGGUAUUCUCGCUCUGUUAGGUAUUUUACUUUCAUUCUUCGCCGGCCACGACACCUCCUAAUUAUGCGUUUCGCUUAUGAAAUCGGGAAAUCUGGGACUAGUUAUUUGGAAAUUCUAUGUCAUUGUAUUUGUUGGAGUGGUUUAGGUAUUUUACUUUCCUUCUUCGCCGGCCACGACACCUUGAUUGUCAUUGUAUUUGUUGGAGUGGUUGGUUGCAUUUUGUUGUAUUUUUUAAUUAAAGGACGAGAAGAAAAUGAUGUUUUAUUUGCUCAAAUUACUAAAUAUAAAGGAAAAUCAAAUAUAUUAUAUGAGAUUAAAUGGAAAACCUUGAUCUGGGCCUAUGAAGGGGCCCAAAACCCAAGGGUGAAAAUUUUCAAUCAAAUCAGUUUCUACUCUUAUUAGUUUGCUUUUUCUAUCAUUCUAUACUGGGACAAUAAUGAGGUAGAUGAACCUUGUCGAAUUACAAAAUGAUCAUGGCUUCUAAAUUUGGGAGAGUUUCUUUUUGUGUUGCUUUUGUUUUUUAAUUUUAAGAGUUGGAACGUGAAAGGGUAAUGAUGUGCUUGUGUUAUAUUUUUGUAUCAAUUGAUCCUUCAAGAAGAAAACGAAAGUUGAUUCUUUGUGCUUUAUGAGUGAGUUGGAUAUUGAAUUUGAAGUUUGUAAUGAGUGAACACAAAAAGUAAAUUAGUUCUAUGUAUAAAUGUUCAUAUCGUUUAUGUGA